rnacentral:ribozyme from 1 species
UGAGGUGGGGAGCCAGUGCGGUUGCCGUAAUGCGGCUUAUCGAGUUUUCGAUAAACGGUCACAAGCCCGUGUAAACGCAGAGUGAGGA